CAGGGAUAAAAACACACUUUGGUUGGUAGUCCAAAGGCGGCGGCGCACCGCAAGUAGCCCUCCCCCUCCCGGGGUCGUCCGUUCCCUGAGUUUAU
rnacentral:ncRNA from 1 species